AUUAUCACAUUAUUAACUUUUUAGUAAACAUAGUAAUUUGAUGACAGUUAAUAGUUUUUCCUUAAUUUGCGCAAGUUUAUGGGAAGCGAGCUUAAAUAAUUUAUUUAAAACUAUUUAGAUGAUAGUUAAUUGUCAAAUUAAUGCCGUUAAAAGUUUCAGAAUAGAUAUGAAUUAAUGACUCAAGCAUUCAACCCAAUUAGUAUUCAUUAAAAUGCUACAUGCAUUACACCCUUCACUUGUACAAGCCCAGCUGAGCUGGUACACCUGCGCCAUUGCUCCAUGUUAAUGACUUUAGUCAAUCCCGGAUAGCGGCGCGUAGCGGCCGACCCCAAAAGUGGGAUAGCGGGAUAGCGCAUAGCGGGAUGGCCGCUAUUUUGAUUUUUCAUAUAUAAUUUUAUAUAAUUAAUAGAAUAAUAGUAUAUACAUAUAAUAACUAAAAAAAAGAUAAGUAUAACUUAAAAUCUAGAACAAACAGAUGAGAUGAUAGAGAAGAGAGGAGGAAGAGGAUGCCAUGCGAGAGAAUUGGUAACAAAAUGAAUUGAUUGAGAAUAGAAAAUUAAGAGGAAAAGAAAGGAAAGAAAAACAAAAAAAAACAGAGCAGAACAGAGGCCCUAGGGCAGUGGUCGCCGGAGAUUGGCUGAAAGUCACCUCACAGCGUUCGUUGGAAGUUGGACGGUGCUUGUCGGAGGUCGGCGGUGGCCAUGGGUGCUGAUCGAAGGUGGAAGGUGGCUGAAGAAGAUCGCAGUGGCCAUGGGUUCUGUCGCUGAAGAAGAAGCUGAAGAAGAAGAUGAAUAGUGAGAGAUGAAACGCGCGUUCAUUUAUUUAUGUGCGAAAUCCCAAAAUUGCCCUCAAAGUUUAACCUAAUUAUAAAAUUUCAAGGGCAAUUUAGGUUUUUCCACAACUGUACCUUAUCUUCUUCUUGUGGCGCCGUGAUCUCACGCGAUCUGGCUGCGAUUUGCGGCGCGACAGCCGCGACGGCGUUCCGCGACGCGAUGGCUUCAGAAUCGCGGCGAGCGGCCGCGACGCGACGGCGCGAUAGCGCCGCGAUUUGCCGCGAUCGAUAACUAUGCUUUGCGGCCAGGCCAAUUGACCCUGGCAUUAGUGCUGGCACCAAGCCCUUUGUUGUUGUACUCAGCGUAAUAUAAUGUGUUGAGUGCAAAGUUUCCUUCCCAAGGUAGCCAUCCAUCAUGGUGAAUAAGGUAGCCAUCCAUCAUUUACCUAGUAUCUCCACUGAGUUGAUGACCGGGUCGAGUUUAAUGACACUGCUCUCAAGUCACAAAUCAAAUGUAUACAUUCUUCAAAGAUUCUAAAUUAGAAAGAAGACAAUGGGACUCACUAGUUAAGCGAAAAGAUUUUUCAGCCACCUUAAAGUUUAUUUGACUAACUUAAAGCUUACUGCUUAAAGUGUAUUUGACAAUUUAACUAGCUUAAAAACUCUUCUAAAGUAUUUGGUAAAAAAGCUUAUUUUUGGUAGCUUAUAGCUUUUUUCAUAAGCUACUUGAGGUUAUUCUCAUUUUUUAUGGUUACCAUUUUAAUAAAAUUUCAUCAUUCUCUUUUUUAUUGGUAACACUCGUGAGUAUGAACAAGUAAAAUUGAAUAGAAACCGAAGAGGAUUCCUAUUCCAGAACCAAAAUGAUCCUAGCCUAGGGAGAAGAUUGAAUUGACAAUUUGGGAAAGAACAAGGAAUUAGGGUUUACAAGUGAUCCCAAUGAUCACACUGGUUCCACAACCAGAUCCCAAACUCUAUUUCGAAGAUAACUUCCUCAUGAAGCUACUACUACUAUUUAUAGCCUAACUCUGUUAACAGUACUAACUGCUAACUGUUCCAGCUGGCAUAACUGCUCUAACAGUUCCAACCGUCAAAUCUUGACAAUUAUUCUUAUUACACUUGAGUCCUCGAAUUACCUACUGCUUACUCAUUCUAGUUCUCGUCCUAGCAUAGACAAGUUUCAAGGCUGGUUUAUUACCCUUGGAUCUAUCAUUUAUAAUUUUAAAAACACUAAACUUUUAUUAUAUUAUUUUUCUAUGCGGUUGUCGUCGCUUCAAGCAAGCAGCUUCAGCCACCACUGCGAACACCGUCGACCCUCGCACCAGUAGUGGAGUUUGCCCGUCGACCGCCGCGAGACCUAGCGCCACCAUUUGAACCUCAGCGCCACCUUGAAGGUUCAACUACUGCUUUACUUGGUUUGCCUUAUAUCUGAAAUCCAUUUUUUCGAAUCCAAAAGUUGCAGAGGAGCUAGUACAUACAAUACACAACCACGGUUGGAGCUCACAGGCAAAGUAAUUCGUGUGCCUUUCGUUGCUAUUUCCAUCAAUUUGUUUAAAAGGAUGUGGGGCUGAUGAGAAGACUGUGAGAGCAAUAUUGGGCCAUAGGAGUGUUCAUCAGAGGCAGCAAAUCAGAAAGGUUUAUGAGGAGCUUUACCGAGAGGGUAUCAUCAAACACCUUGAGUCUGAGCUCUCUGGUAACUUUUAGGUUGGUGGGAUUGCUGCCAAAGCUUCAGAGAUGGUUUUGAAGUUUCCACUGCCAUCUUUUGCCACCGUGACAUUAGGUAUGGGUUUCUCAUCUGUUCCCUUCAACUCUGGAAGGCUAAGCCAAGCAGGACCAGGACCAGGAGCCAAAAUUGGAGCAGGUCCAGGAGCAUAAACAGGAGAUGGGCCAGGAGCAGCUGAACCAGGACCAGGAGCAGGACCAGGAGCAGGAACAAUGCCAGAACCAGGAGCAUGAGCAGGAGCUAGAGGGGCAUCAGUUUUUCCCCAUGGUAAGUGAAACCCUGAAGCUCCAUCGAAUGCAGAAAAGAAUGUAGACACCUCUGACACAACAGAAAGGGAAUUGCUAAUAAGUUCCCGAGAUUCCUUAAAGAGCUUCUCAAAUUCAGUCUUCAAUUUUCCUUCUGGAAACCCAUCAAUGCAGGUCUGUUGGUAAGAUAUGACUGCACUGAGCCAGUUGUUAAGUUCAGAAGAUUUCUCGGAAAGCUUAGCCAAAUCAUUUGAUCCAACUUCAGUGAUAGAGAAUCCCAUUUCUUCCUUGGCAUCCUCAAAGAGCUGCUUGCAAUCUUCAUAUGCUCCUUUCUCCUCCUCAGAAGCAAACUUCAAGGUGGCGGUUUUGUUGAAGGCCUUGUUAAUCUCAGCCUCAGCAAGCACCAUGGAAAUCAAGAGAAGAUCCUUUGGCUUUGCAUGUCUAGGGUCCUUCUUCAAUGCCUCAGUGCUGAGGGAGCAUUCACUUUGUUGUUGCUGUCAGGGCCAGUUCUUUUGACAACAACAAAUGCUGCAGCAGCUACCACACAUGCAAGGAGAAUGGAGGAAAUUCCAAUGAUGAUAAUCUUCUUUCUCAUUUUCAUCUUCU